rnacentral:rRNA from 1 species
GAUGAACGCUGGCGGCGUGCCUAAUACAUGCAAGUCGAGCGAACAGACGAGGAGCUUGCUCCUCUGACGUUAGCGGCGGACGGGUGAGUAACACGUGGAUAACCUACCUAUAAGACUGGGGUAACUUCGGGAAACCGGAGCUAAUACCGGAUAAUAUAUUGAACCGCAUGGUUCAAUAGUGAAAGACGGUUUUGCUGUCACUUAUAGAUGGAUCCGCGCCGCAUUAGCUAGUUGGUAAGGUAACGGCUUACCAAGGCAACGAUGCGUAGCCGACCUGAGAGGGUGAUCGGCCACACUGGAACUGAGACACGGUCCAGACUCCUACGGGAGGCAGCAGUAGGGAAUCUUCCGCAAUGGGCGAAAGCCUGACGGAGCAACGCCGCGUGAGUGAUGAAGGUCUUCGGAUCGUAAAGCUCUGUUAUUAGGGAAGAACAAAUGUGUAAGUAACUAUGCACGUCUUGACGGUACCUAAUCAGAAAGCCACGGCUAACUACGUG